CCGAAGCGCGCAUACCGUUUGGUGGAUUCCAAGACAAUACUUUACUCACGAGCGGUGGCAGCGCGUCCAUUGUUUAAUUGCUGUUUCUGUGGUGUUGACCAUGACAUUGGCGAAGGAAAGUAGAAUGAUGCACAGGUCAAUUUGGCGAAUACCAUGCCUCAGUUAGCAAGAUGUGCUAACUGUUGCAAUCGUUUCCAUUGCCUUAUGUGCCCAGUAACGAUGUUUAAACCGACAACGUACUACGUGCUCAAAUGCAUGUAGAGUCACACGCAAAGAACGGAAUUUCAUUCCAAGUCUGACAUGCCAAAGAUAAGGAAAUGGAGGUGCCUAACUGAUGAACAGUGGUCUGGAAAAACAUGGACAGAGGUUUGCCUUUUGGACUGAGGAAGCUUCACACCUGCUGAAAGCGAACUUGGAGCUUGGAGCCUCUCCGGCUGUUCUCAGACCUGUGUCAUAGGAGUCGCGCAUCAUGAGGGACCUCUGCAGUGCCGUGUGCUGGAUUCACAAGAAUCACUCCCUCUUCCAUGGAAAGGUGACAGAAGCUGCCGUUCUCCAGAUGGAGGCUGAGGAUCAACAGGAAGCAUUCAGGGAGGUUAUAUUUAUUUUUCAUAAUAGGGAGGACAUGGAAACCUUCAUCUCUAAUUGUGUUGACGGGAUGGGUCUUAAACUUCAUGCCAUGUUUGCGUAAUACGAAUUGUUUUCCAUCCAUCCACCAUCUCCCGCUUUAUCCGAGGUCGGGUCGCAGGGGCAGCAGUCUCACCAGGGAAACCCAGACUUCCCUCUUCCCUCGAAUUGUUUUCCUCAUUCUUUUAUUCUGUUCAUUAUACUGCUUUUUUGCACAUUCGUUCUAAUUUAAUUAUACAUUGAUACGCUACCUACAAAUAAAAUGUUGUUUGCCAAA